CCCUUAGAUGUUCGGGGCCGCACGCGCGCUACACUGAGGGGAUCAGCGUGUGUAUGUCCUGGCCCGUUAGGGCUGGGUAACCCGUUGAACCCCCCUCGUGCUAGGGAUCGGGGCUUGAAAUUCUUCCCCGUGAACGAGGAAUUCCCAGUACAUGCGAGUCAUCAGCUCGCAUUGAUUACGUCCCUGCCCUUUGUACACACCGCCCGUCGCUACUACCGAUUGGAUGGUUUAGUGAGAACGUUGGAUCGGCAGCUGGCGAGGUUUCCGAGCCGGCACGCCGAGAAGACGUUCGAACUUGAUCAUCUAGAGGGAGUAAAANUCGUANCA
rnacentral:rRNA from 1 species